rnacentral:misc_RNA from 1 species
AUAUGACGGAAACUGCUGUCUCAGAAUUACCUGAUCAAAUUGGAAUGCUUUCAAGCUUAAAGCUACUGAAGAUGAGAAAGACACCACAGCUUAGAGAUGAUAAACUGCUGCUGGAUAUGGAAAAUGGAGAAAGUUCUAAACGCGUUACUCUUCCAGAAUCAUUUUCGAAUCUCUCAUCCUUGGAAUUCCUAGAUGCUCAUGCUUGGAAAAUAUCUGGGAAUAUUUCUGAUGAUUUUGAGAAGUUGGCUGCUUUGGAAGAACUUGACCUCGGGUACAAUGAUUUUUGCAGCCUCCCUUCUAGCAUGAAAAAACUGCG